rnacentral:rRNA from 1 species
UACGAAGGGUGCAAGCGUUAAUCGGAAUUACUGGGCGUAAAGGGUGCGUAGGCGGUUUGUUAAGUCUGUUGUGAAAUCCCCGGGCUCAACCUGGGAAUGGCAAUGGAUACUGGCAAGCUAGAGUGUGUCAGAGGAUGGUGGAAUUCCCGGUGUAGCGGUGAAAUGCGUAGAGAUCGGGAGGAACAUCAGUGGCGAAGGCGACCCCCUGGGCCAAUACUGACGCUGAGGUACGAAAGCGUGGGUAGCGAACAGG